AAAUUGUGUCCUCGGCCGCCGGUUCGUCGCUCGCGACGCCAACUGGCGCGCACCGCUGGACGUCCAGCCGGUACAACGAACUCGCCUACGGGGUGCUCUUAACCGAGUGUCCAGGCGGGGGCCGGCAACGUUACUUUGAACAAAUUAAAGUGCUUAAAGCAGGCUAAAUUGCGCUCGCAUACACGCGCAUGGAAUAAUCGAAUAGGACCUCCGUUCUAUUUUGUUGGGUUUUUGUGGAACGACAGACGGAGGUAAUGAUCAAUGGGUGCGGAUGGGGGCAUUCGUAUUGCGACGUUAGAGGUGAAAUUCUUGGAUCGUCGCAAGACGGACUUAAGCGAAAGCAUUUGCCAAAAACGCUUUCAUCGAUCAAGAACGAAAGUUAGAGGUUCGAAGGCGAUCAGAUACCGCCCUAGUUCUAACCAUAAACUAUGCCAGCUAGCGAUCCGCCGAAGUUACUUCUAUGACUCGGCGGGCAGCUUCCGGGAAACCAAAGCUUUCGGGUUCCGGGGGAAGUAUGGUUGCAAAGCUGAAACUUAAAGGAAUUGACGGAAGGGCACCACCAGGAGUGGAGCCUGCGGCUUAAUUUGACUCAACACGGGAAACCUCACCAGGCCCGGACACCGGAAGGAUUGACAGAUUGAGAGCUCUUUCUUGAUUCGGUGGGUGGUGGUGCAUGGCCGUUCUUAGUUGGUGGAGCGAUUUGUCUGGUUAAU
rnacentral:rRNA from 1 species